rnacentral:rRNA from 1 species
UACGUAGGGUGCAAGCGUUAAUCGGAAUUACUGGGCGUAAAGCGUGCGCAGGCGGUUAUGCAAGACAGAUGUGAAAUCCCCGGGCUCAACCUGGGAACUGCAUUUGUGACUGCAUGGCUAGAGUACGGUAGAGGGGGAUGGAAUUCCACGUGUAGCAGUGAAAUGCGUAGAUAUGUGGAGGAAUACCGAUGGCGAAGGCAGCCCCCUGGGUCGACACUGACGCUCAUGCACGAAAGCGUGGGGAGCAAACAGG